UAGAAAUUACUUCCUCCUGUCUUCCAUUGUGUUGUACAUCAUGCAGCUACGGCUACCUGGAUGCUAAUUGUCAUGAAUUGCUUUUGCAGGGACUCAAAAUGCCAUGGAGAAGAAGGUGUUAGAAGCAGGAGAAGAACAGUACCUGGGAAGCGCUCAGGAUAGCGAUGAUUCUUCGGAUGAUGACCACUACGGCAAAGGGUGCAGAGCGAGGAAGUACAGGAAGGUGGAUGAUGAAGCUCCAUCUACUGGGAAAAAAGUCAUCUAAAAAAAGGCGGCACAGAGGCAGCACGAGAAGUCGCACUCGCUCGAAGUGCUCAGGGAGGUGCAGAAUGAGCAGCUGCGAGAGCCAAGGGACUGCAUCCAGUGCAAGGAGAAGGACGAGAUCAUCGGAAAACUGCGGAAACAGAUCGAAGUGCUCCAAGACAUCAACAUCACCAGCAACAACGUUCAUGGACUCGCAAGGCGCCUUGAAGACGCCGUGAUUUGGCUGGAAGAAAACAAAGGGCGGCUUGCGAAAGAUGUAUCCGUUGUCAACGUGGACGACUACGACGACGCUGAUACAGGUGCCUCAGCCAGCCCAAGGGGCGAGGCGGGAGCUUCCCACCACCUAUCCACCCCUGCUCGUCCACUGGCAAUGCCGUCGACCAGUCGGACCGAAGCCGAAACUCCCACGAGGCGGCCAACUCACCAUGACGUGAAUAUGGUCACCAUCGGGCCCUUCACGGCCAUCACAUCUGCGGCCUUUUGCCUCAUCAACUUUGAUGACAAGAAGAAGGCCAUUCGCGACAUGAUGAUGGCCGUAUUCGGAAAAGAGGUGCUGGGCAGC
rnacentral:misc_RNA from 1 species